UUCAAGCAGAAUGGAGACACAAGCUUGUGAAGGCCCAAGACCCAAACACCUCACUUUUGUAACAUGGUCAAAAGAAGUCCCUGAGACGACCUGUGCAUGUACAGGUCAGGAUGAAGCAACACUUUAUUGGCCAAAAGACCAAUUUGUGCCGUCAGAUAUGAGUAAGCAUGUCCAUAAUAAAGACAGAUCUGUUGGCAUUUGGGUGAAGGACACCUAAAAUUGUAAGAUUCAGCAAGUCAUUGAAUUUCACGCUACAAAACUGUUUUCAUUUCAAGUGCAAGGGUUUAUGUUUGUUCUUGGUUUUGUUGUUAAUACAAAUUGCUCUUGGACUCUUUGAAGGUUGCUUUGAACUUAUAUUGAACUAAAGGGAUAAAUUAAGAAGAAACUUAGCACACAAGAGAGAAUUCAAAAUUAAAACCACGAUUGUGGCAACUGAGAAGUUGUUGGAGUCCUGACACUUGAAGCCCAUUCUUCAUGAACAGAAAAGGUGACAGGACACCCAUUUGUUGACACCAUGGGUACUGUGGGAAUCGUGAAAAGCAGACAAUGAGAACUGUUUGAAACCUUUUUCUGUGCUUCCUAGGACUCUUCCAUCUAGCCCUUGGAUAAAAUUCUCAGUGAUCACCAACUAUGGUAUGGACAGGUUGAAACCUGAAAAUCUCUGCUUACUCAGCCAGGAUACUAAACCAGCUUUUGAUAGGACAGAUACCAGUACUUAGCAACAGCUAGAAUUCAACUAGUGACAGGACUAAGACGAUGUGAUACUAGUAAAUAUGUAUUGGAGCAUUUCUUUUGCCGAUCGAAUGUAAUUAUUGUAAUAGUAUUUAUUGAUGAAGCUCACAGUCCUUCAGCUGUACAGACUGUAAAAACAUCUUUGAAGGUAUAAAAUACUGAUGUAAAUUCUAUUUAUUGCAAUGUAUAAUAUCCAAAUGUCACACUGGCAUAUUUUACAAUAAUAUAUAAUGCUAGAUAAAAUGACAAUUAUAUUUAAGAUGUUUUUCAGAUAUUAAUAUUGAACAUUUAAGACUAGUUUGUAUUUGGAUCUAAAAAAAAUCUGUUUUAUUAUGUGUUUAAUUUUCCCUGGAUUUGGAUUUGCAUGCUUUCCUUACACAAUUUGGUGUUAGAUUACUAUAAGAUUCAUAGCGAGUAUGGAAUAUGUUAGAUAGGUUCUUUAUUAUGUACAUUAUAUAUAUUUAUAUUAUAGAAAAGUUUGUGUUGUCUUUUCAGAAAGUUUAGAAUAUUGCCCUAACUAUGGUCAGGGCUUCCAUUGCCAAAGGCUAGAGGUUUGUCUUCUAUUCAAAAUUGAUUAUUUAGAAGUCUAGUGGGUUGGGCAUUAUAGAUAUAACGUAAGAAUUUAAACACAAAUUUAGUGAAAUAGGGAGAGAAAAGUGCAGCUGAUAGACUUCUGCUAGAUCUUGAAGCUUUGUAUUGUCUUUUUUCUCAAGGUAACACAGUACAUUCUUAACUUCUUUGAGGUGGGGUUUUUAUGUAACACUACCAACAAGUUCAGCAUUGCAAUUGAUUUUAAUCUGUUUUCUUUGGGCAGUUGGUAACUUUAAUGCCAACAUUUUUAGUGAUAAAUGUAUCAUUUGGCUGCUAAAUUCUGUCACAUUUUCUAAAUGAAGGUGAACUUAUGUUACAUAUCAAAAUGUGUGCAUUUGAGUUGUGUUAUUUUAGCGAUUUUGCAAGAAAAUUUUAUUUUUAUAGUAUCUGUGAUUUUCAUGUAGAUGACUGAAGCAGAUUUCUUUGUGGUUAACAGUGCUAUUGAGUGGUAUGGAACAGUGUUACUUGACGUUUUGAGCCUUCUCAGGUUUAUCUGCAUCAGUGGUAGUUUAACAAAAUUUGGAUUGAUUUCACGUAAUUGUCUUUGUAAUAAAGGAGAAGUACACUCCUGUAAAAGCACAGUAUUGUUGGACUGUAGGAGGCUGCAGAAUCUCCUGUAUUGCUAUGCUUUUGCCUCUGUGUGUGUGUGUGUGGUGUGUGUGUGUGUGUGUGUGUGUGUGUGUGUGUUGUGUCCAAGGCAUGGCAGCCAACCUUGUAUCUGCUAUUUAUAGUAACAGCAGAGCUUCAUAAUUGUGGUCAUCAGAAUUAUGCUUAUCAUAGACAAUUAAAGCUGAGAAAGAUUCAAUAAAACUAUGAAACGUGG